rnacentral:snRNA from 1 species
GUGCAGCACAUUCACUAAAAUUGGAACGAUACAAAGAUUAGCAUGACGUCUGCAGAAGAAUGACACAAAAAUUUGUGAAGCGUUCCAUUUUUUU